CACCUGUUAGCUCUAUUAUUGCUCAAUAAUUUUUUAUCGUUGUUAGCCCAUUCAAUUCGUGGGCAGUGUUGUUUUUUUGGACGCAUGAAUCACAAUGUGAGUCGUGUCCAAAGGGGGAAUUGCCAAUCCCCUGGGACCCUUUGGUUCUGGCGAUUGUGACUACAGAUGGUAUCUAGAUACAUGGAAAGGAUCAUUUGACCGAGAACAGUGGGAACCUCACCCCCUCUAACUGGCUGAACUAAUGGCGACAAUGGCAUUCACUAUGGUCCUUCACCAUUUUACGUGAGACCUGAGUCCGAGCCAGCAACUUGUACACAGCAUCCAGUCGAAGCUAUCAACUGCCUUUUCUCUCAGGAGUGUGACAUGAGUCCACGUGGAGUGAGCAUGGAGAGAGAUCCCGUCCAAACUUCUCUCAUGCUGCUGGUGUACAGUAAAGAUUCACGACAGGAACCGGCUUUCACAUAAGUCAAUCGAGGACUGCCUGCGCAUCAAAAUCACAACCCUCUCACUCGACAUCCACAAGAUCGUGUCCGAGGGGAAAUGCAACUUUUCCCAUUAAGAGCAGGUUAUCCCAAGACUCCUGAUACAGACAUUCAGACAUUGACUUCUUUUCUUUAAAUUAUUGUUUUAUGUAGGAUGUUACCUUGUUGGCCAGUUGCAAUUGUAAGUAGGCCAAAUGCAUUUUUUAAAAAUCCCAUUUCUAUUAGGCCAUUUUUCUUCUUGUGAAAGAUGCUGUUAAGCCUCAUAGCCUACCUCCGCUAGCUACGUUAUUUUAUAUGGGCCUUGGCUCUGAUUAAAUAAGCCUACAAUUAAGCCCUCUUGUUGUUUGUAAAGUCAAAUUAAAAUAAAGAUUAUCUGUUGAAAUGAA
ensembl:lncRNA